UUCCAGACUCCUACGGGAGGCAGCAGUGGGGAAUAUUGCACAAUGGGGGAAACCCUGAUGCAGCGACGCCGCGUGAGUGAAGAAGUAUUUCGGUAUGUAAAGCUCUAUCAGCAGGGAAGAAGAAGGACGGUACCUGAGUAAGAAGCCCCGGCUAACUACGUGCCAGCAGCCGCGGUAAUACGUAGGGGGCAAGCGUUAUCCGGAUUUACUGGGUGUAAAGGGGGCGCAGACGGCGAUGCAAGCCAGGAGUGAAAGCCCGGGGCCCAACCCCGGGACUGCUCUUGGAACUGCGUGGCUAGAGUGCAGGAGGGGCAGGCGGAAUUCCUGGUGUAGCGGUGAAAUGCGUAGAUAUCAGGAGGAACACCGGUGGCGAAGGCGGCCUGCUGGACUGCAACUGACGUUGAGGCCCGAAAGCGUGGGGAGCAAACAGGAUUAGAUACCCUCGUACA
rnacentral:rRNA from 1 species